GGCUCAGUGGCGCAGCGGGUAGCGCUGCUGCCUCGCAGCAAUAAGUUUGUGAGUUUGAAUCCGGCCCAGAGCCU